rnacentral:rRNA from 1 species
UGUAGUCAUAUGCUUGUCUCAAAGAUUAAGCCAUGCAUGUCUAAGUAUAAGCAAUUAUACAGCGAAACUGCGAAUGGCUCAUUAAAUCAGUUAUCGUUUAUUUGAUAGUACCUUACUACAUGGAUAACCGUGGUAAUUCUAGAGCUAAUACAUGCUAAAAAGCCCGACUUCGGAAGGGUUGUAUUUAUUAGAUUAAAAACCAAUGCCCUUCGGGGCUCUCUGGUGAUUCAUAAUAACUUCUCGAAUCGCACGGCCUUGCGCCGGCGAUGGUUCAUUCAAAUUUCUGCCCUAUCAACUUUCGACGGCUGGGUCUUGGCCAGCCAUGGUGACAACGGGUAACGGAGGGUUAGGGCUCGACCCCGGAGAAGGAGCCUGAGAAACGGCUACUACAUCCAAGGAAGGCAGCAGGCGCGCAAAUUACCCAAUCCCGACACGGGGAGGUAGUGACAAUAAAUACUGAUACAGGGCUCUUUUGGGUCUUGUAAUUGGAAUGAGUACAAUUUAAAUCCCUUAACGAGGAACAAUUGGAGGGCAAGUCUGGUAAUCG